rnacentral:tRNA from 1 species
AAGGAAUUAGUUAACUUAAAUAACAUUAGAAUGUCAAACUAAAAUAACUUCAAUUAAAGUAUUCCUUG